GACGAACGCUGGCGGCGUGCUUAACACAUGCAAGUCGAACGGAAAGGCCCUGCUUUUGUGGGGUGCUCGAGUGGCGAACGGGUGAGUAACACGUGAGUAACCUGCCCUUCACUGUGGGAUAACUUCAUGAAACUGGGGCUCAUACCGGAUAGGAGCUCCUGCUGCAUGGUGGGGGUUGGAAAGUUUCGGUGGUUGGUGAUGGACUGGCGGCUUAUCAGCUUGUUGGUGUGGUAGUGGCUUACCAAGGCUUUGCCGGGUAGCCGGCCUGGGAGGGGGACCGGCCCCGUUGGGACUGGGAUACGGCCCGGCCCCGAACGGGACGGAGGAGAGCGGAAUAUUGUACUAUGGGCGGAAGCCUGAUGCAGCCACGCCGCGUGCGGGAUGUGGGGCUUCGGGUUGUAUUCCGCUUUCGCCUGUGACGAAGCGUGAGUGACGGUAAUGGGUAAAGAAGCACCGGCUAACUCCGUG
rnacentral:rRNA from 1 species